GCCUCCAGUUCCCACAGUGGGUCACAGUCAGAGGGCGGCACCCAGUUCCCACCGUGGGUCACUGUCAGUGGGUCACAGUCAGAGGGCGGCCUCUAGUUCCCACAGUGGGUCACAGUCAGAGGGCAGCACCCAGUUCCCACAGUGGGUCACGGUCCGUGAGUCACAGUCAGAGGGCGGCCUCCAGGUCCCACCAUGGGUCACGGUCAGUGGGUCAGUCAGAGGGUGGCAUCCACUUCCGACAGUGGGUCACAAUCAGAGGCCUCGUGUUUGCCUGAAGGGUUGCACACUGUUUGCUGAAGCUAGUUUGGGUCGAGGGGCUGUUUUGUUCAUGGUCCUGUGCUGCCUGUUGAGGCACCACAGCGGUGUCUUCGGGGACCUGUGGAUGUGUCCUCCCGUGAGAAACAAGUAAAGACACUCCUGCUUCCUGGUCUCAGGCCAACACCUGGGCCUGGAGCCUGGGCCCCCUGCGGCUCCCCAGGGAGGCGGGCUGGCAGGCAGAGGGCAGGACCGUGCGUCCGCAUGCCCACACCACCAGCACCCGGGACGCCGCAGCCGCCUGUGCGCCCCAAGACGUUUGCGGCACGUCCUGGGGUCCGAAGAUACUCAAGUGAUGACCCAUGUGGCUCCUUAGAGGGUUGCCUCCAAAAAGCCGAUUUUAGUCUGUUUUUUUCCUCCCAUUCUAAUCUCUAAUACGUAAUCACCUGCGGUU